GACGAACGCUGGCGGCGUGCCUAAUACAUGCAAGUAGAACGCACAGUUUAUACCGUAGCUUGCUACACCAUAGACUGUGAGUUGCGAACGGGUGAGUAACGCGUAGGUAACCUGCCUGGUAGCGGGGGAUAACUAUUGGAAACGAUAGCUAAUACCGCAUAAUAUUGAUUAUUGCAUGAUAAUUAAUUGAAAGGUGCAAUUGCACCACUACCAGAUGGACUUGCGUUGUAUUAGCUAGUAGGUGAGGUAACGGCUCACCUAGGCGACGAUACAUAGCCGACCUGAGAGGGUGAACAGCCACACUGGGACUGAGACACGGCCCAGACUCCUACGGGAGGCAGCAGUAGGGAAUCUUCGGCAAUGGACGAAAGUCUGACCGAGCAACGCCGCGUGAGUGAAGAAGGUUUUCGGAUCGUAAAGCUCUGUUGUAAGAGAAGAACGGGUGUGAGAGUGGAAAGUUCACACUGUGACGGUAUCUGACCAGAAAGGGACGGCUAACUACGUG
rnacentral:rRNA from 1 species